GUUACCAAAAACGGAAAAUAGUAACAAUGAAAGUAAUAUGGACUUCAAAGUCAUAGCCGAAGAUUUUCCGCUUCCCGUCAUCCACGAAAAUGUACAUGUAGUCUUCCGAGUUACUCGUCAGCCCUGAUGAUCCAUCGAAUAUACAGGAAUGUAUGAUAGAUGCAGAAUCACCGAAGGGUCUAUUUAGAAGUAAUCGAAGGCUGGAGGAAACAUAUGCAAUGUGUUGAACGCCACCAAAAACAAGAAAAAAAUGAAAAAAAUCAA